rnacentral:rRNA from 1 species
GAGAAGAAGAAAGAGAAAGAAGAGAAGGCAAAACAAAAGAAGGAAGAAAAGGCAAUUCUCACAGAACAGGAGGCCGCUGAAGAAGAUUUGGCUUUAAAGGAAAUGAUUGGGCCUACUGCUAGGGAAGAAGAAGAAAUGAUAGAAGCAAAACAACAUGACCAACAGCAGCUCUGUAAUGUCAGUCGGGCAUUGGCUGUGCUGGCAUCUGCAUCGUCUGUUAGCAAGGAGCGUCAAGAGUUCCCGAGCCUUGUCAACAAGGAGAAAAAACUAUAUAACUCCAUGCUUGAAAGAGAAGACACAGAGGGGGCAGAAGAAGCUAAGAAGGCAUAUAUGGCUGCUACAGAGGAGUCAGACGACCUCACCGAGGUUGCUUCAGAGGAAAAAGUCUUGUCAGCGCUGAUUGACAAGGUUGAUGCUAUGCUUCAGGAAUUAGAAAAGGAGAUUGAUGAUGUGGAUGCACAAAUUGGAAACCGCUGGCAACUGCUUGAUAGGUGCGUCAAUUGCAUGUGUAUCAAAGUCGUUUCAUAUUGCAUGCCAGUCAGCUAUUGCAUUGUGCUGCCGGUGAAUUUCCUCUAG